rnacentral:tRNA from 1 species
GCCCUUGUGGUGUAGUGGUGAGCACACUCGCCGUGUAAUCGAGAGGUCUGCGGUUCGAGUCCCGGCAACGCUU